rnacentral:tRNA from 1 species
UUUUUGGAAGCUUGCAACAGCAAUGAAUUUUUACUUCAUAAACAGGAUAUAUUUCCCCAAAAAA